GGGGCCUUAGCUCAGUUGGUAGAGCGCCUGCUUUGCAAGCAGGAUGUCAGGAGUUCGAUUCUCCUAGGCUCCACUA
rnacentral:tRNA from 1 species